AUACUUACCUGGCAGGGGAGAUACUGUGAUCAAGAAGGUGGUUCACCCAGGGUGAGGCUCGCCAUUUGCACUCCAGGUCGUGCUGACCCCUGCGAAUUCCCCAAAUUGUGGGAAUCUCGACUGAUAUUUUCUGGUAGUGGGGGACUUAUCUCCCCUG